AUUUAAAAUUAAGAAAAAAGGGCUGGCCCCUAUAAUUAGGGGUCAGCAGCUCAUACACGUAUUUUUCUGAUAGCAAAAAUCGUUAUCAUUUUAUGAAAAAAAAUUAAUUCAGUUAUUGUUAAUAUAUUAGAUAAUGUCAUUUGGUGUCAAAUUUAAAAAGUUCUGUGCCCUAUUUUUUUCAAAUUUCAUAAAACAAAUAUGUGUGAAUCGUACAUGAACGAGUUAAUUUGUCUACAUAGACACACAAGCGAACAAAUGCCGUUUUAAGGCCCAGGCAUUUACUGCAUUACAUUGUGUUGCGUCUUAGAUAAAUUGUUGUGAUUCAAUUUCAUUUUUUUUCAUCUAGGCUAUAUCAUUUAUGAAUUCAACUACUUAUUUAACACGUUCUAAUCGGCCACGCAGAACAAAUGUUUGCAAUGUUUGUCGCGGACCCGCGAAUGUAAACAGUAACUGUGAACGAACGGCAUUGUAGAAAAGAGAGAGCGUAAUGCAGAAGAUAAGUUGUGCAUUUUUCGGUGUACACAUGCAUUUUCAAGUUACUGUGAAACAUAUGAACAUACACAGGGAACAAUACUACAUAUUUGUAUAAGGAGGGAUAUAUUCUCGUGUGAAUCGUUUACGAGGAAAUUCUGACAGCCACACUUCUGUCGACCAUGUCGACACGGAUGUUUAUGUUUUCAUUGAUCAGCCGUUGAUAAGCUACGAGUAAUAAAGGGGAAAAGAUGGACAUUAAAGUGUGUGAUCUAUGUGGAUGUUACUGAAGAAGCUCAAAACGGACUCUUGUUCCGACAUGGCACCACAUUGCUUUUACCUGUUGAUUCUUGUGGGUCAGCUCUUGAGAUUAACCUGUCACCUCUAUCCACAUGCAUAUUCCUUGUGUUCUACAGACUUUUUACCGGUAAUUCAAAUUAAAUCGGAUAAUGCAUGAACAAUAAUGGAACUUUAUGAAAGCAUCAUCCCAUGUUGUGGUUUGUGUUUGAUAAGAAAUUAUGAAAAACAAAAUUAAGGCUAUUUAAAGAAAUUCAUAAUUGUUGUGAAAAUUUGUUUUUCAAUAAAAGUAUGCAAUUAUG